rnacentral:rRNA from 1 species
UACGGAGGGGCUAGCGUUGUUCGGAAUUACUGGGCGUAAAGCGCACGUAGGCGGACCAUCAAGUUGGGGGUGAAAUCCCGGGGCUCAACCCCGGACUGCCCUUCAAAACUGUUGGUCUGGAGGUCGAGAGAGGUGAGUGGAAUUCCGAGUGUAGAGGUGAAAUUCGAUAGAUAUUCGGAGGAACACCAGUGGCGAAGGCGGCUCACUGGCUCGAUACUGACGCUGGAGGUGACGAAGCGUGGGGAGCAAACAGG